AUUGAACGCUGGCGGCAUGCCUUACACAUGCAAGUCGAACGGCAGCACGGGGCAACCUGGUGGCGAGUGGCGAACGGGUGAGUAAUGCAUCGGAACGUACCUUUCAGUGGGGGACAACGUAGCGAAAGUUACGCUAAUACCGCAUAUUCUGUGAGCAAGAAAGCAGGGGAUCGCAAGACCUUGCGCUGAUUGAGCGGCCGAUAUCAGAUUAGCUAGUUGGUGAGGUAAAGGCUCACCAAGGCGACGAUCUGUAGCGGGUCUGAGAGGAUGAUCCGCCACACUGGAACUGAGACACGGUCCAGACUCCUACGGGAGGCAGCAGUGGGGAAUUUUGGACAAUGGGGGCAACCCUGAUCCAGCCAUGCCGCGUGAGUGAAGAAGGCCUUCGGGUUGUAAAGCUCUUUCGGCCGGGAAGAAAUCGUAUCAGCUAAUACCUGGUGCGGAUGACGGUACCGGCAUAAGAAGCACCGGCUAACUACGUGCCAGCCGCCGCCGUAACAC
rnacentral:rRNA from 1 species